rnacentral:misc_RNA from 1 species
AAGUCGUAACAAGGUUUCCGUAGGUGAACCUGCGGAAGGAUCAUUAAUGAAGUUUUUUGGGGUUUUUAAAUUCCAAAAAAUAAUUCACCUUUUGUGCAUUGUUAUUAGAUAUACUUUGGUUAGAGCUUUGAUUUCAUUUUAUUGGAAUCAACUUCUUGCUAACUCUAUCCUAUUUGUAUGGGACAGUUGGCUAUGAAGCGGCCUACCAAGGUUUUUUAUCAAACACAUUUAAUUUAUCUGACCUAAAAACAAAUAAUUAAAUCAUAACUUUCAACAACGGAUCUCUUGGCUCUC